UUGGAUUGUAAUUUGUAACCAAAUCUCAGGCUCCCACAUUCCUCACCCUUUCAAAUUAUCGGAAGCCCAAACAUAAAACUCCUAGGCAUGUCUUCCACCUGCCGUCUCCAUCCCAAGGAGUGGCAGAGUCGUGGGAAGACCACAGCGUUCUAGGACUGCAUGGAGUCUCAGAGCCACCAUUCCAGGUUCCAUUUCCUCAUUGGGAAAAGAUCUUUAUGAACUGCUCCCAGCUCUCAGAUCUAAUUGUGUAACCUUGGGCAAGCUACUUAUCCUUGUUUCCAUUUCCUCAACUGUAAAACGUGAAGUUCUCACACGGACAUGCAGCUAAGAACGGAGGGAGUCUGUCUCUGAGCUUGUAGAGAGACACUGGCAAACAGUUGGUGCUCGGAACACGCUAAUUAUUGUUUUUGCCACCAUCCUUACACUUAUCCAAGGCAGAGAAGCUACCCAAGUGCACCUGAACCCUGGAAAGCGCGCUUGCCUCCCGCCCUAGGCAUGGAAGCAGAAUCCUUGAACAUGUCCUGCUCUGUAGCUCCAGGACCUCCUGCAUGUUUUUACCUCUGCAGGCAGUGAUGUUAUCCCCACACUUUUGCCUGGAUGUUUGAAGACCCAAGGUGGUGUCACCUCUUUGGGGAAGUCUCCCUAAAACCCCUCCAGGGCCCUACAUACUUAUGAAGCUGGUCUGGCUGCUUGUACUAAGCCUUACCGCCCUUUGGCAGAGGAAAAACAGAGGCACCUCUCCUAGGUCGUCCUUCACAAGGAUUCUGUGAGGCUUCUUGCAUGACGCUUGUUACACCAGGUUAUGACCACCAGUUGUUCACCUGCCUCACCUUAGACUGUAAAUUCCUUAGUGCGAAGGAAUGCGCGUUAUUCAUCUUUGUCAUCUCAGCUUCUGCAAGUAGCAUACUGUUCAAAAGUAUUCACUGAAACAUAUUCAAAUACAAACCAAAUUCACAACAUA